UUCUCGCUCUGAAUACUAUGUUUAGGAUGGAUUUUUCUAUUGCUCUCUUUGACUGUUGUAGACGCCUUGUGCACAUUGUGGUUUUUGGUGUGUACGACGGGUCUGUGCACGCGCCCGGCGGGCUUUUGCUGCAGCCCGGGGCAUGAUAGGUACUCAGGAAGAGUUCCGCAAAACCUAAACGUUGGGUUUUCUUCUCAUGGAACAAAAUUUCAGUACUCCAAUUUAGUACCAUUACCCAAAUACAAAAUCUAUAGUUUUACCAAAUUUGACUUUGCAAAAUCUGUUUUCUCACCAAGUUUGUACCAAAACCACUCGAAUAGUUGUAAUGACCCUGAAGAAUAAAUGGUAAAAGUAGUAGUAGUAGUAGCAGUUAGCAUGGGAGAGUAGUAAAAAUGUCAACUUUACAAAGUAGAGCAGAGAAGUGACAGCAGGAGGUUGGUGAGGAGUGAGCUCGGCGGAGCGAUCCGGCGGGAAGGCGCUCGGGCGGAACUCCGGCAGGAAGGCGCCUUCGAAGGGGCUAAGGCGAGCUCGACAGUUCUAGGGCAUAGUCGGUGAUGAAGGGGAAAUGGGAGGAUCGAGGUCGGAGGAGGAAGCCUGACAGAACCGGGGUGUUUGGGGUGAAGAAGAGAGUUGGCGAAUCGGGCGAUCAGAUCACUGGAGCGGGCGUAAAAUGUGGACCCGAUAUCUGCCGGGUCGUGGAUGAUGCGGAGAAGGCCGGAACCGACGCCCACUUACCAUUAAGCAUAGAUCGAGCAAAGCGGGCUCGGAUCGGGGCGAAAUGGCGAACCCAAGACCCGCUGGGUUGCGGGUAGUAUGGAGAAGGACAGACCCGAGUCCGAAUACCCGACAAGCAGCAGAGGAGCUCAGGAAGCCCAGGAAGAGGGCCCAACUACCAUCGAAUUGGCGGCCCAACCAGCCAACUUCUUAUUUUGUCACUUUUGCUGUUUAGUCCUCAGAGAUUAAAUAAUUCUCUUUUCUGUAUGGAACUAAUUAGUAUAAGUAUCAGGAUGUAAUGUAAGCUAGGGCUUAGGAAUGGAAAUGAAUUAGCGUGUCUUCUUCCCCAAUUAUCCUCUUCUUCUCCACUCCUUUCUCUUCUCCUUCCCCAAAACCCUACUCUAAAUUCUUCUAAAACCCUAUUUUCUUCCUCCCAAUCUCUCUCCCUAUCUCUCUCUGUUUCUCUCCCUCUCCUUCUCUUUCACAAACUCACCUCCAAAUCGCCUCAAAUCAUCCGGUACAUAACAAUUGGUAUCAGAGCAGUUUUGAUCCCAGGGAGGGGAUGAAACUGAUACUUGCAUCAUGGUGGGAUGUCACAAGAAUGGAGCAGUAAUGGAUCUCGAGUAGCACCUGGAGCAAGAACUCAAGUGGUAGCAUCAGAUCUACAUUGGAAGGAUCACAGUAGUGAUUGGAGACAUUGCCACUACAAUAACAAGGUGGUAUCAGAUUGCAACUAGUAGAGAGGCGAUUUGAUUUUAUAAAGCUAUAACAUCAGGUAUUGUAGAAAUCUUUGCAUCCUUUUGAAUCAUUGAUUGCAUGUAUGCAAGAAUUGGUUAAUAAGGGAUCAAACCUGAUAAACAUCACAAGAAAUCUUUAUCACUGCUACUUGAAUCAAAUUGAUAGAGGGGUCAUAGAAGCAACAGGUUCUUGGUAGAGUAUCAUAGUUAAAAUUGGGCCAGUGAAGGGGAAUUUCAUCAAACACCUUGCAGGCACCAAGUAAUCAAGUUUUGUUCCCCAAUUUUAAUUCCAGAGUUGAGAUAUAAUUAGUUAAAUUGCUACAAAUGGAAAUAUAUUGAAGGAGUAGACAGCUGGUUAGUGUUCUCUUGAUUAGAACAGUCAUCAGAUCCCAAAGAGCAUCAUAGUCACCUCAAUAUUUCAUUGGAGCCAAUAGAAGAAAGCCAUUGGAAAUUCAGUCAAGUACCAUAGUGAAACACUUCAAGAAGAAGCAUAUGUGAAGUAAAAAUAGUUAAUGGAACAAAGUUGCAGCAACAAACCACUAGCUAUAAUCAAAGCUUUGAAGAAGCAUUACAAAGUGCUCGGGAUGUUAAUCAAAAGUUAGAUGCCUUAAUUGAAGCACUACAAAAGUUUAAGGAAGUGAAUUCUCGAAAUCCAAGGAUUGUACUUCAUCCAGGAUCGACUGACCGUCGAGAGAAUACCCUUUGUGAGAGUUAAGAAUGUCCAAAACACAAAAAGUGCUUUGGAGUUGAGUCCGCGAGAGCAAAUGGUGCAAACUGCAUUUUUGGGCUGAUGUUGCUCUCGGGGACCGGUCUCUGGAGGUGAGAGACCGGUUCCCUCGACUGGGUGUAGCGGGUUUGCUUGGUGCAACCGAUCCCUGGCAGGGAGGGACCGGUUCUCGAACGUGAUCCCAGCGAGAAAUGCCGAAAUUUCGCUAAGUCCUGAAAAUCGAGCUCUCGGGGACCGGUCUCUCAGGCGAGGACCGGUCUCUCGAGGACCGGUCUCCCGGGGAGAGACCGGUUCCCGAACGCGUGCGCCCGAAGGAAGCCCUCGGGGACCGGUCCCAAGUCGGGGAGACCGGCCCCUCCGCGCGAAAACUGCCCAGAAAGGGCUAUGCAAUGGCUGGAAAGUUGAGGGGUCUAAAUGCAAAAUGGCCUUUAUUAGAGUGGGCUGAGCCCUCUCUCUCCCUCACACUCAUCUCAUUUCACUCUCUCUCUCACUCUCUCUUUCUCUCUUGCUCCCUCUCUAGAAAAGAAAGGAGAAGAAGAAGAACAAGAAGGAGAGGAAGGAAAAGAAAGAGAAGGAAAGGAAGGAGAAGAAGAAGGAGAUCAAGGAGAAGGCUUUGGACACCUUCAUCACCCUCUCCUCUUCUCUUUGGUGUAGCACAAGAGGUAGGCUCUUGAGCCCUAGCUUCUAAACUUUGGAGUUUUGGAUUUUUAUGCUUUGGAAUGGGUCAAAUGAACCCUAAGCAUGCUUCUAAGUAGAUCAAUCCCAUGAAUCUAGGGAUUUAUUGGGUGGUUUGCUAUGGGUGCAAACCUAGGGCUCCAAAAUGGGGUUUUUGCGAAAGUAUGAGAUUGAUCUCAUUUGAAGCCUUGGAAACCCUAUUGUUAGGUCACAAAAUGUGGAGGCGCAGUCGAUUUUGGCAUUCGGCGACCCGGCGUGAAGUUCUCGGCAAAAUAGGGCCGGGUUAGCAUCGAUUCGGUCAAGGAAGGCUAAAGCCUUUUCGUAAAGCUCGCCGAGAAGGAUUUUCUAAGCCUCUACAUCGAUUAAUGGUGGGGGGUGCCAUCCUGAAGCUUUCGAACUCCUUUCUAUGUCUUAGAUUGCAUUUAAUCUCAUCUUUUCAUAUUGCAUUGUAGGAUUGCAUAGUAGCUCCAUUCCUUAUACUUUCUAAAUGAUAACCUAGUGUACUUGGAACGCUUGGUGACUUAGAUAGGUGAGGAUUGGGUCGGAACGUGGAUCCUAUGAUGCUAGAGAUAGAGAUGAACCCGAUAGGGGUGUUGAUGACAUAGAAAGCAGUGUUAUUGUCAAAGAAUAAACGAGUGGCAUCCAAAUGUUAAAUGAUAACGAGUGGCAUUAAUGUAGUGUAAUUAACACCAGAAGUCGAUUGACCUAGGGAUAGGCGGAUCCCUUAGAAAAUGCCUUGUGAACAAUGAAUUUAGAAAAGCUAAAUAGCAUUGCAUGAAUGUCGGGAACAAAUGAUCCCGCGAGAAAUAUUGACUCUAAUUGUAGAGCAUCCUCACUUGGAGAGGACUUGAUUGAGUUGUUGACCCUAGUUGUAGGGCAUCCUCACUUGGAGAUGAUAGAUCUAGCUCAUAGUCUGCGUUCGGGAUGGUAUAGCCAUUCAAUCCCCACAUGGAGGGGAUUAUCGUCGAGUACUCCGGAGUGUCGCGCGACUAGGACCACUUGGAGGUCCGGACCACAUGGAGGUCCGCAGACGGUCCCGGGCUUGGGUGCACUUGGAGCUCCCUCCCCACUUUGGGAUUGAAAGGUGAGUCAUAGGCGAGCCCUAGGGCCUCGCCACAGAUUGGGUAAAUGGAAAGAGUAAAGGUUUAAGAAUGUCAUUAAAUAUUGCUAUUCAAAUAUGGAUCGAAUUUGUUAGCAUGGUAGCAAACCUUUAUCAUAUGAUGCAUGCAUUCAUAUCCAUGAUUAUGGGCAUAGUAGCAUAAUUUUCCUACUAUUGCAUUUACAGUUUUCAGAUACAUAUCUAUCUAUCUAUCUAUCUGUUGUUACUUGUGCCCACUUGGACCUAGUGGGGAGAUCGGUAGAGUCGGCGGCCGAGCCCACUGGAAACUAUGGAAGAUAGUUCUCACUCCACUCUAUUUCCAGUGGUAGGUGCAGGGCUGCCGAGAGAGGACCGCGGCAAGGCCAUCGCUCCCGAUCAGUGAGACCGUGGUAAUAUAGUAGCUUUCCUUUUUGCAUUAGUACACCUAUGUAUUGAGAGAGAUUCAUUGUAGGUGAGGAUUUGGAGAGCUAUGUAUUUUGGAGAUGAAAAAUGUAUUCAUUUAAAGAAAAUGAUGUAAAUAAAAAUGUUGAAACUAUUGUAAUAGUUUAGUGAAGUACUCUCUUUAUUUCACAUGCUUUAUCUUGUGGAUCGCUUGCUCUUCGCGUUGUUGGCACCGUUUGUGCCCUUGUGAAUGUGUAUGUUUAGAAUUUAAUUUCCUGCGUAAAUUCUUGUACACAUUCCUAUUGUUGAGCCUGGGGCGGACAAGGGAGGUGCUGUCCGUUCGGCGGCCUGCCGCCGCGGCCGAACCGUGCCAAAUUGGUAGUGGUUUCGGGGCGGGGCGUGACCGCCUUUGUGGUAUCAGAGCCUAAGAGCAAGUAAAGAGAAAGUCUAGGAUAAUCUAGGAGACCCUAGGUCGGUAAGCCCUAAGGUUAUAGGUGCAUGAGCGGAACGUGAACUUAUAGCGAUGGCGGAAGUUGAUUCUAUUGGGUCGAAGUUGGUAAUAUGUCUCUAGUUGUGGUUAGAGACGGAUUCAAGUGGUAUAAGUUCUUGUCUUGAGAUGGUUGUGUCGGCGGCCGACGACAUGAUACUAAGAGCCUAGAACGAGUGCACUUGUGUGCUUCCGCCUGAUUUUGUUGUUGAGUCGUCAUGUGUCGUAAUUGCGACGAGAUAAUUGGUUAAGAUGACUGACCAAGUAAUUGCGUUUCAGGGACUAAUGUCUCCAAGACGCUACACACGUAGAACUGCCCCAGCACCGACUCCUGAGGUGCCCGAGCAGGAGGAACCGAGCGUGAUCGAUUGGUUGCAAGCACAGGUGACCGCGUUGACCAAUGUGGUGCAGCGCCAGGAGACCAGAUUCGAGCGGCUCCAGGAUCUAUUGGAGCGGCAGAUCGCGGCGACGGCUGCGACGGUAAAUGAAGGCAGUGGCCCGCCCAAACCCUCGACUCAUAUACCUGGAGCGGCAGAGGGUGAGGGCAUAGCGGCGGUUCCGAUGACGGCACGCCCACCGCGAACGAUCGUACCACAGGCGGCAUCGGGGUCGGCUACACCCGAUGUGUCGGUCGAAGACGUGGAGGGAGAGAGCGCAUUGGCGGCUCUUAUCAAGUUCAACAAGUUCCAUCCGCCAACUUUCGAGGGCGAGAAGGUGGAACCGGAGAUGGUCGAGUCUUGGAUCGACUCGAUGGAAACCCUCUUCGAUGACUUGCGUACCUUGGAGAGGGACAAGGUGUACCUCGCCACCCAUUGCUUGGAAAAGGCGGCGAAGGUUUGGUGAAGCGAGUCAAACGGGAUCGGCUUCCCGGCCUUCCACCAAUGUUGUGGGAGGAAUUCAAGCGGGAGAUGUUCGCCAACUAUUUUCCCGAUACAUUGAAGCGGAAGCUCAAGGAGAAGUUCCGCAAGCUCGAGCAAGGGGACCGCCCAGUGGCGGAGUAUGAACAAGAAUUCUCCCAUAUUAUCGAUUUCGUCCUGGAUGUUGUAAAGGAUGACCGGGACCGGGCCGAGUGGUUCUUGCGAGGGCUUCGGCCGGGAAUCUAUAAGGCCGUGCAAAUAUUCAAGCUCACGACUUUUGCGGAGGUCUUCGAUCGAGCCCUAUGGGUGGAGCACGGAGAUGCCCACGUUCGGGAGAAGCGUGAGGCUUUGGCCGAGUCUAAGGACAAGGGCAAGAAACGCCAAGGCGGCGGUAGUUCGGGGGGGACAAGCACGUUACAAGAAACCCCUGAAGUAUCCGCGCGCUCAACAAAAGGGCGGUGGAGCGCGGUGAUGCAUUGUGUGCGGCGGAGACCACCCAGUCUCGCGCUGUGAGCAAGGUCGAGGCAAGUACUACAAAUGUGGGCAACCGGGGCACUUCAUUUGAGACUGCCCGGGAGGAGGAGCCUCACCUACCCCAUAGAUUGCAUCGGCGUCGGCGAUCCCGGCUCACUAUGGAGGAGCUCCAACGACGGCCGCGUCGACUGGACGCGCGAUGAUGCCGCGUCAACCUGAAGUGAUGCGAUCGGCCCCGAGCAGACGGGUGUUCGCCGCUCAGGUCCAAACUGAGGAACCUGCGGAGGCGGAGGAGCAUCGCCUUGUGGCAGGUAUGGUUUUAAUUAACGGAGUUCGCUCCAGGGCUUUAUUUGAUACAGGAGCCACGCAUCCAUUCAUAAGUAGAUCAUUCGCACGCAUGCAUGACAUUCUCAUAGAGGCGAGUGACAAGUGGCGAGUGGAGGGCCCUGAGUCGACGUUUAACACUUACUCGGAGUGUGCGUCAUGUCCCGUGCAAAUAGGCGACUGGAUUAUGCCUAUCCGGACACUGGAACUCCAGAAGCUUGAGGCUUUUGAUAUCAUUCUGGGCAUGGACUGGCUCUCGAAGUAUCAUGCGACGAUCGACUGUAAGAGCAGGGUGAUCACUUUUCGUGAACCAGGACAGGAGGAGUUCACAUAUCGGGCUUGUCAGAGCUCGUGCUUUGUCGCGACGGUGUCGGCGACGAGAGCAAGAAAGUUAGUUAACAGCGGUUGCACGGCAUUCUUAGUGACUGUUGUGGAAGUGGAACGAGUAGCUCCAACGUUAGGGGAGCUAUCGGUGGUGCGGGAGUUCCCGGAUGUGCUUCUUGCGGAGUUGCCGGGGAUACCACCGGAUCGGGAGAUCGAGUUUGUCAUAGACUUGGUUCCCGGUACCGCGCCGAUCUCGAAGGCCCCGUACCGAAUAGCGCCGGCGGAAUUGAAAGAGUUGAGGAGUCAACUGCAAGACCUCCUCGACAAGCAAUUUAUCCGGCCAAGUGUAUCACCGUGGGGAGCCCCGGUGUUGUUUGUACGGAAGAAGGACGGAUCGUUUCGACUCUGCGUGGACUAUCGAGAAUUGAACAGAGUCACGAUCAAGAACAAGUACCCAUUACCCCGGAUCGAUGACUUGUUCGAUCAGUUGCAAGGGUCAUGCGUGUACUCGAAGAUAGAUUUGCAAUCCGGCUACCACCAACUGAAGAUCAAGCCGGAGGAUGUGCAGAAAACUGCGUUUUGUACGCGGUAUGGACACUAUGAAUUCACGGUUAUGCCAUUUAGACUCAUGAAUGCUCCAGCGGUGUUCAUGGAUUUAAUGAACUGUGUCUUCAAGAAGUAUUUGGAUCGAUUUGUCGUGGUCUUCAUAGACGACAUAUUGGUCUAUUCUCGUAGCAACGAAGAACAUGUCGAGCAUUUGAGGAUAGUUCUUCAAGUCCUUCGGGAGGAGAAGCUAUAUGCUAAGCUGAAGAAGUGUGACUUCUGGCUUUGCGAGGUCGCCUUCUUAGGGCAUGUGAUUUUCGCGGGUGGAGUUUCUGUAGACCCGAGGAAAGUGGAGGCAAUCAAGGAUUGGCCGCGCCCGACAAAUGUCAUGGAGGUUCGAAGCUUCGUGGGCUUGGCGGGCUAUUAUAGGCGGUUCGUGGAAGGUUUUUCCAAAAUAGUGAUUCCACUUACCCGCCUUACUCAGAAAGGCACCAAGUUCGUUUAGAGCGAAGAAUGUGACCAGAGUUUCAAAGAGUUGAAGCAAAGACUGACUUCGACUCCGGUGCUCGCUCUACCGGUGCAGGGCGAAGACUUCUUGGUCUACGGUGAUGCCUCCUAUCUUGGGUUGGGGUGUGUAUUGAUGCAAAACGGGAAGGUGAUCGCUUAUGCAUCCCGUCAACUGAAGAGCUAUGAGAGGAACUACCCCAUCCAUGAUUUGGAGCUAGCGGUGGUGAUUUUCGCCUUGAAGCUGUGGAGGCACUACUUAUAGGGUGCCCAUUGUGAGAUUUAUACCGACCACAAGAGCUUGAAGUACCUGUUUACACAGACGGAGCUCAACAUGCGUCAGCGGCGGUGGUUGGAGCUGUUAAAAGACUAUGAUGUUGAUAUCCUCUACCACCCCGGGAAGGCAAAUGUGGUCGCGGACGCACUUAGUAGGAAGUCGGCGAAGAACCUCGCUUUUGAUAUUACCCAGCAAACACCCCUGUGGCUGGAUAUGGAGCGAUUGGACCUUAAAGUGGUCACUCCCGAGGUCCCGACUCAGUUGAUGGCACUCGUUGUCCAACCGACCUUGUUGGAGAGGAUCAAAGAUCUGCAACCCGCAGACCCAGAACUCCAAAAGGUGCGGCGAAAUAUCGAGGAAGGGCAUGGCGGCGAUUUCAGGGUAGACGCCGAUGGUACGCUUCGGUUUCGAAACCGAUGGUGUGUGCCGAAAAAUGGAGAGCUUCGUGAAUUGAUUCUGCAAAAAGCACACCGAUCUCCAUAUGCCGAUCACCCAGGCGGCACCAAGAUGUAUCGUGGAUUAAAAAUGCACUAUUGGUGGCCGGGAAUGAAGAGUGACAUUGGACGCUUUGUGGCAAAGUGCCUGACAUGCCAACAAGUGAAGGCCGAGCGUCGAUUUCCAGCGGGAAAGCUUCAAAGCCUACCAAUCCCCGUUUGGAAAUGGGAGGAUAUAUCAAUGGACUUCGUGGUCGGCUUGCCUCGCUCAACGGGCGGCCAUGAUGCAAUUUGGGUAAUUGUGGACCGAUUGACAAAGUCGGCUCACUUCUUACCGAUCCACACCACGUGAUCGGGUGACAAGUUAGCGCAGGUAUAUCUUGACCAGAUAGUGAGACUGCAUCGGGUGCCAAAAUCGAUCGUGUCGGAUCAUGACCCCCGGUUCACUUCACACUUCUGGAAAAGCCUGCAGGAAGCCCUUGGCACACGGCUCGACUUCAGCACUGCAUUUCAUCCUCAGAUCGAUGGGCAAACAGAAAGAACUAUUCAAACACUGGAGGACAUGUUGCGAGCGUUUGUCAUCGACUAUAAGGGAAGUUGGUGUGACCACUUACCUAUGGCCGAGUUCGCCUACAACAACAGUUAUCAUGCUAGUAUGGAGAUGGCACCGUUCGAGGCUCUUUAUAGGCGGUCGCGUCGAUCUCCUAUACACUGGAGCGAUGUAGGUGAGCGUGCUGAGUUCAGCCCAGAUGUGUUGCGAGAAGCGAAAGAGAAAGUCCGCCUUGCUCGCAAGAGAUUGCUCACGGCGUAGUCGAGACAACAGAGUUAUGCAGAUAGACGCCGUCGAGAUAUAGAAUUCGCGGUAGGCGACCGCGUAUUCCUGAAAGUCUCACCGAUGCGGGGUGUGAAGCGGUUUGGAGUGCGGGGAAAACUAAGUCCCCGAUACAUUGGGCCAUCUGAGAUAUUGGAGCGAGUUGGCAUGGUGGCCUACCGACUUGCUUUGCCGCCGAAACUUGCGGAUGUACACAAUGUGUUCCAUGUCUCCAAUCUCCGCAAGUAUAUUCACGACCCCGAGCAUGUGAUGCUAUAUGAACCGCGGGAACUUCAAGGAGACUUGAGCUAUGAAGAGUUUCCGGUAGGGAUUAUCGCCCGAGAGGUGCGAAAGUUGAGGCAUCGAGAAAUUCCCUAUGUGAAGGACAGGUGGAGCAAUCACGAGGAUCGCGAAGCCACCUGGGAACUCGAGGAUCUGAUGAGAAAACACCAUCCUCAUCUAUUUGAGGAGUAAGGUAUGGGUUUAAGUCAAGAAUUGAGUUAGUUUGGAGGACGAAACUUCUUUUAAGGAGGGGAGGAUGUAAGGAAGUGAAUUCUCGAAAUGCGAGGAUUGUACUUCAUCCAGAAUCGACUGACCGUCGAGAGAAUACCCUUUGUGGGAGUUAAGAAUGUCCAAAACACAAAAAGUGCUUUGGAGUUGAGUCCGUGAGAGCAAAUGGUGCAAACUGUAUUUUUGGGCUGAUGUUGCUCUCGGGGACCGGUCUCUGGAGGUGAGAGACUGGUUCCCUCGGCUGGGUGUAGCGGGGUUGUUUGGUGCAACCGGUCCCUGGCAGGGAGGGACCGGUACCCGAACGUGGUCCCAGCAAGAAAUGCCGAAAUUUGGCUAAGUCCUGAAAAUCGAGCUCUAAGGGACCGGUCUCUCAUGCGAGGACUGGUCUCCCGAGGACCGGUCUCCCGGGGAGAGACCGGUUCCCGAACGCGUGCGCCCGAGGGAAGCCCUCGGGGAUCGGUCCCAAGUCGGGGAGACCGGUCCCUCCGUGCGAAAACUGCCCAGUAAGGGCUGUGCAAUGGAUGGAAAGCUGAGGGGUCUAAAUGCAAAAUGGCCUUUAUUAGAGUGGGCUGAGCUCUCUCUCUCCCUCACACUCAUCUCAUUUCACUCUCUCUCUCACUCUCUCUUUCUCUCUUGCUCCCUCUCUAGAAAAGAAAGGAGAAGAAGAAGAACAAGAAGGAGAGGAAGGAAAAGAAGGAGAAGGAAAGGAAGGAGAAGAAGAAGAAGGAGAUCAAGAAGACGGCUUUGGACACCUUCAUCAACCUCUCCUCUUCUCUUUGGUGUAGCACAAGAGGUAGGCUCUUGAGCCCUAGCUUCUAAACUUUGGAGUUUUGGGUUUUCAUGCUUUGGAAUGGGUCAAAUGAACCCUAAGCAUGCUUCUAAGUAGAUCAAUCCCAUGAAUCUAGGGAUUUAUUCGGUGGUUUGCUAUGGGUACAAACCUAGGGCUCCGAAAUGGGGUUUUUGCGAAAGUAUGAGAUUGAUCUCAUUUGAAGCCUUGGAAACCCUAUUGUUAGGUCACAAAACGUGGGGGCGAAGUCGAUUUUGGCAUUCGGCGACCCGGCGUGAAGUUCUCGGCAAAAUAGGGCCGGGUUAGCAUCGAUUCGGUCAAGGAAGGCUAAAGCCUUUUCGUAAAGCUCGCCGAGAAGGAUUUUCUAAGCCUCUACAGCGAUAAAAGGUGGGAGGUGCCAUCCCGAAGCUUUCGAACUCCUUUCUAUGUCUUAGAUUGCAUUUAAUCUCAUCUAUUUAUAUUGCAUUGUAGGAUUGCAUAGUAGCUCCAUUCCUUAUGCUUUCUAAAUGAUAACCUAGUGUACUUGGAACGCUUGGUGACUUAGAUAGGUGAGGAUUGGGUCGGAACGUGGAUCCUAUGAUGCUAGAGAUAGAGAUGAACCCGAUGGGGGUGUUGAUGACAUAGAAAGCAGUGUUAUUGUCAAAGAAUAAACGAGUGGCAUCCAAAUGUUAAAUGAUAACGAGUGGCAUUAAUGUAGUGUAAUUAACACCAGAAGUCGAUGGACCUAGGGAUAGGCGGAUCCCUUAGAAAAUGCCUUGUGAACAAUAAAUUUAGAAAAGCUAAAUAGCAUUGCAUGAAUGUCGCGAGAAAUGUUGACUCUAGUUGUAGAGCAUCCUCACUUGGAGAGGACUUGAUUGAGUUGUUGACCCUAGUUGUAGAACAUCCUCACUUGGAGAGGAUAGAUCUAGCUCACAGUCUGCGUUCGGGAUGGUAUAGCCAUCCAAUUCCCACAUGGAGGGGAUUGUCGUCGAGUACUCCAGAGUGUCGCGCGACUAGGACCACUUGGAGGUCCGGACCACAUGGAGGUCCGCAGACGGUCCCGGGCUUGGGUGCACUUGGAGCUCCUUCCCCACUUUGGGAUUGAAAGGUGAGUCAUAGGCGAGCCCUAGGGCCUCGCCACAGAUUGGGUAAAUGGAAAGAGUUAAGGUUUAAGAAUGUCAUUGAAUAUUGCUAUUCGAACAUGGAUCGAAUUUGUUAGCAUGGUAGCAAACCUUUAUCAUAUGAUGCAUGCAUUCAUAUCCAUGAUUAUGGGCAUAGUAGCAUAGUUUUCCUACUAUUGCAUUUAUAGUUUUCAGAUACAUAUCUAUCUAUCUAUCUAUCUAUUUGUUGUUACUUGUGCCCACUUGGACCUAGUGGGGAGAUCGGUAGAGUCGGCGGCCGAGCCCACUGGAAACUAUGGAAGAUAGUUCUCACUCCACUCUAUUUCCAGUGGUAGGUGCAGGGCUGCUGAGAGAGGACCGCGGCAAGGGCAUCGCGCCCGAUCAGUGAGACCGUGGUAGUAUAGUAGCUUUCCUUUUUGCAUUAGCACACCUAUGUAUUGAGAGAGAUUCAUUGUAGGUGAGGAUUUGGAGAGCUAUGUAUUUUGGAGAUGAAAAAUGUAUUCAUUUAAAGAAAAUGAUGUAAAUGAAAAUGUUGAAACUAUUGUAAUAGUUUAGUAAAGUACUCUCUUUAUUUCACAUGCUUUAUCUUGUGGAUCGCUUGCUCUUCGCGUUGUUGGCACCGUUUGUGCCCUUGUGAAUGUGUAUGUUUAGAAUUUAAUUUCCUGAGUAAAUUCUUGUACACAUUCCUGUUGUUGAGCCUUGGGCGGACAGGGGAGGUGCUGUCCGUUCGGCGGCCCGUCGCCGCGGCCGAACUGUGCCAAAUUAGUAGUGGUUUCGGGACGGGGCGUGACAAAAAGGAAGAGGCAAGGAGGCACGAAAUCAUGAUGCAGGAGAAUGCCCGCAAACAUGAACAACUCCUAGAGUUGAUUAGGAGCCGAUUUGUGCAUGAUAGAGAAAAAGAGAUAGCAGUGCAGGUUCCAAAAGAAGAGAAAGAGCUAAUACCCAUAACCAUUUCUCUAGAGAAAAGAGUUAGUUCACUAACUAAUUCCGUAAUCGACCAACCAGCUGCCGUGAAGGAAGUAGAGCAAAAGCACCUUGAAAUUCUACAGAUGGAGGACAGUAAUGGGCAUGAUGUAAAGCUGAGUGAUAGUACUAGCAAACCGGAGGGAUUGCUAAGGUUGCAUGCAACUCAACCAUAUCCGACCAAGCCAAUUCCAAUUGUCGAAACAUGCAACAUAGAGCAUUCAAGUUUAGAGAGAAGCAAACUUAGAGAUAACAUUGUUCCAUCACCUAUCAGAGCAAACAUGGGUGAAGGAACUCCACUAGGAACUCACAAGCUGCAAGAAAUGGAAGAAGAAGCAUUCCCACAAUGGCCUGAUAACAACCCACUACCUCAACAACCCUGGUUGGAUCGAAUUCAUCAUCAGCAUCAACAGCAUAAGCUCUGGAAGCGAUCUAUUCGGCGUGGAACCUAUCAUCAUUGUCGCCAUCCAGUUCUCAGAUCGAAGUCAUCAUUGAAGGUUGCGACUCAGCUCGGAACCAAAUCAGGCCUAGAUCGACCCUUGGUAGCACCUCAAUCAUCAUCACAGCCAACCAAAUCUCCGAAAUUACAAUGGGCGAUGGAUGCUACUCAGAUUGGGCCAUUACAAAUUGAAUGCUAUCACAAUCGGAUUGUUAUGAAGAUUGGGCUGUUACAAACUGGAAAGGCAAAAACAGAAAAACAAGAGAUCGUUAACUACAAGGACAAACCCCCUUGGAAGAAGUUUGUUGCAGAUAAGUGGAAGGGGAUUGACAUCAAGUGCCUAACUGAUGACAUUGAUGCAUUCUGCAGGCAAAUACACAACAAGACAGUGGAAAACUAUCAAGCCAGAUCGGAGAACUUAAGAGUUCAAAAGCCAAUCCAAAAUUCUAAUCUGGUAGAGGCUUGCCAGGUGUGGGGCUUUGUCAAUGAAUACAAGGAGCUAGGGACUGUGCUUAAGAGGCCUCACCCAUGCUCGCGAUUUCUGACCUAUGAACAAGAUAAGCUACAGGAAUCUGAUAGAAAUUUGGGUGUUACCUUGCACAUAAAAGGGGAAUGCAAAGCGCUUACCAUGAUUAUAUGCAAAUGGAUGCAAGCUGUGCAAAAUCGAAGUGAAGAAGACCAUCUGUUAACUGAAUUUCAUACUUCCAGGGCGUGGCAAGUUGAUAAGGGAAUUGAACAGUUCACUCGAUGGUCAGGAAUCGAAAGGGAUGUGCAUCAGUUAGUGCCAGAAUAUGAAGUUUGCUUAAGAGCUAAGGGAGAAAAUAGGCCCACACAUUGUUACAAGAAGCUGAAACCUGAAGAGUGGUGGUCCUACACCAGAUGCCGCUUCUCAACAGGAGAGAGAAUUUUACAAGGUAAAUAUACCUAUUACCCUCCAACUAAUGCCUUGAUUACUAUUGGAAAUAUUAUGGACUCAAAUUUGAGUUGGUUCAAGCGAAUGGGACAAGUACUAUACAUUUUUAAAGGGCAAUCAAAUAGAGCAUAGCAGAGAACACAUAUCAUGCUGAUAGGAAAAGGAGUAAAAGUCUCUCUAGGAGAAGACAUGUACACUGGGAGUCAAUAUUCCACGAGCAACAUGGCGGAGCUGACAGAAGGAGUCCAAAACUCUAGUUGCAUUUCUCUGAACCAACCCAGUUUUUUGACUAGGGGAGAUCCGGCAGCGCGCAGGUUGCGACAUCCUGAAGGGCCCAAGGGUGAGCCCCUGCCCCAACAGGGCCGCCAUCCAUGCUGCCAGCCGGAGGAGGUUUCCAAAGGUGGCUUAAAAGAAGCAACUUUGAAGAAGAAGAAUGUGCCGCAGGGGAAGCAAAUGGGAUCCCCCAAACCAGUCAACAAGUUCCAUCCUUGAGGACAAGGAUGAACUUAAGGGGAAGGGAUUGUAAUGACCCUGAAGAAUAAAUGGUAAAAGUAGUAGUAGUAGUAGCAGUUAGCAUGGGAGAGUAGUAAAAAUGUCAACUUUACAAAGUAGAGCAGAGAAGUGAUAGCAGGAGGUUGGUGAGCAGUGAGCUCGGCGGAGCGAUCCGGCGGGAAGGCGCUCGAGCGGAACUCCGGCAGGAAGGCGCCUUCGAAGGGGCUAAGGCGAGCUCGACAGUUCUAGGGCAUAGUCGGUGAUGAAGGGAAAAUGGGAGGAUCGAGGUCGGAGGAGGAAGCCCGACAGAACCGGGGUGUUUGGGGCGAAGAAGAGAGCUAGCGGAUCGGGCGGUCAAAUCAUCGGAGCGGGCGUAAAACGCGGACCCGAUAUCCGCCGGGUCGUGGAUGAUGCGGAGAAGGCCGGAACCGACGCCCACUUACCGUUAAGCAUGGAUCGGGCAAAGCGGGCUCGGAUCGGGGCGAAAUGGCGAACCCAAGACCCGCUGGGUUGCGGGUAGUGUGGAGAAGGACGGACCCGAGUCCGAAUACCCGACAAGCAGCAGAGGAGCUCAGGAAGCCCAGGAAGAGGGCCCAACUACCACCGAAUUGGCGGCCCAACCAACCCACUUCUUAUUUUGUCACUUUUGCUGUUUAGUCCUCAGAGAUUAAAUAAUUCUCUUUUCUAUACGGAACUAAUUAGUAUAAGUAUCAGGAUGUAAUGUAAGCUAGGGCUUAGGAAUGGAAAUGAAUUAGCGUGUCUUCUUCCCCAAUUAUCCUCUUCUUCUCCACUCCUUUCUCUUAUCCUUCCCCAAAACCCUACUCUAAAUUCUUCUAAAACCCUAUUUUCUUCCUCCCAAUCUCUCUCCCUAUCUCUCUCUAUUUCUCUACCUCUCCUUCUCUUUCACAAACUCACCUCCAAAUCACCUCAAAUUAUCCGGUACAUAACAAUAGUCUCCAAACCUCACUGAAAACUAUUCGAAUAGUCUUCUAAGCUAUUUUUCAUUGAAA
rnacentral:lncRNA from 1 species